rnacentral:tRNA from 1 species
UGUGGGGUAGUUCAACUGGCAGAACACCUGGCUGUUACCCAGGAUGCUGGUGGUUCGAGUCCGCCCCCCACAG